GUCUCUUUGUUAUUUAUAUAUAAAGAGUUGGGCCUGCUCGGUGAACAAUUGUUUUAACAGCUGCGGUAUUUUAACUGUACUAAGGUAGCAUAAUAAUUUGCCUUAUAAUUUGAGGCUAGAAUGAAUGGUUUGACGAAGGUUAAUCUGUCUCUAUCUUAUUUUGUAGAAAUUAAUUUUUAAAGUGAAAAAGCUUGAAUGUUUUAAAGGGACGAGAAGACCCUAUUGAGCUUAUAAUUUUAUUGUUGUUGGGAUAAUAUUUUUUAGUAACAUAUAAAUUUUAGUUGGGGUGAUUAAGGAAUAAAAUUUUGAUGUAGUAACUUCCUUGUGCUGGAUAUUGAUAGAUAAAGUAACCAAUAUUAUUGCUUAUAAUAUAGUUACCAUAGGGAUAACAGCGUAAUUUAUUUAGAGAGUUCUUAUUGAAAAAUGAGAUUGCGACCUCGAUGUUGGAUUAAAGUAACCUCAAGGUGCAGAAGCUUUGGAAGGUAAAUCUGUUCGAUUUUUAAAACUUUACA
rnacentral:rRNA from 1 species